AUUGAACGCUGGCGGCAGGCCUAACACAUGCAAGUCGAGCGGAUGAAGGGAGCUUGCUCCUGGAUUCAGCGGCGGACGGGUGAGUAAUGCCUAGGAAUCUGCCUGGUAGUGGGGGAUAACGUCCGGAAACGGGCGCUAAUACCGCAUAAGUCCAGAGGGAGAAAGUGGGGGAUCUUCGGACCUCACGCUAUCAGAUGAGCCUAGGUCGGAUUAGCGAGUUGGUGGGGUAAAGGCCUACCAAGGCGACGAUCCGUAGCUGGUCUGAGAGGAUGAUCAGUCACACUGGAACUGAGACACGGUCCAGACUCCUACGGGAGGCAGCAGUGGGGAAUAUUGGACAAUGGGCGAAAGCCUGAUCCAGCCAUGCCGCGUGUGUGAAGAAGGUCUUCGGAUUGUAAAGCACUUUAAGUUGGGAGGAAGGGCAGUAAGUUAAUACCUUGCUGUUUUGACGUUACCAACAGAAUAAGCACCGGCUAACUUCGUG
rnacentral:rRNA from 1 species